GCCUUCGUGGUAUAGUGGUCAGCACGCUCGCUGCGUAUUUUAAAGGUCCGUGGUUCGAGUCCCGGUGAGGGCA
rnacentral:tRNA from 1 species